UGAUUUUUCCAUACCACCCUGAGAAUGCUCUAUCUCGUCUGAUCUCGGAAGCUAAGCAGGGUCGGGCCUGGUUAGUACUUGGAUGGGAGAGGGGUUAAUAGAGAGU
rnacentral:rRNA from 1 species